GACGAACGCUGGCGGCGUGCUUAACACAUGCAAGUCGAACGAAGUGGCGAACGGGUGAGUAAUACGUCGGUAACCCGCCCUCCUUUUUGGGAUAAGCCUCGGAAACGGGGUCUAAUACCGAAUUAAGGGGGAUGGGCUCGCGGCCUAUCAGCUUGGUGGUGUGGUGAUGGCCUACCAAGGCGGUGACUGGUUGCCGGCCUGAGAGGGUGACCUGGCACAGAGAGACGGAGAUACGGCCCAGGCGCGUACGGGAGGGGGCAGAGGGGGAUAUGGGACAAAGGGAGAAAGCCUGAUGCAGCGACGCCGAGUGGGGGAUGAGGGCUUUCGGGUUGUAUACCUCUUGCGCUAGCGAGCGGGUAGGUGGAGAAGAAGCGCCGGCUAACUACGUGCCAGCAGCCGCGGUAAUAC
rnacentral:rRNA from 1 species